UGGCCACUACGUCUAAGGAUGGCAGCAGGCGCGCAAAUUACCCACUCUCAGAACAUUGAGGAGGUAGUGACGAAAAAUAACGAGACCGUUCUCUACGAGGCCGGUCAUCGGAAUGGGUACAAUCUAAACCCUUUAACGAGUAUCUAUGAGAGGGCAAGUCUGGUGCCAGCAGCCGCGGUAAUUCCAGCUCUCAAAAUGCAUAGAAUUAUUGCUGCGGUUAAAAAGCUCGUAGUUGGAUCUGUGCCAGGGAGUCGGUCCACUUUCGAGUGCGUACUGGCUAACCCAGGCUUUGUUUGCCGGUUUUCUCCUCGUCGGUCUUAACCGACUGCGGGGGGUGGCUGGCGAUUUUACUUUGAACAAAUCAGAGUGCUUAACACAGGCGUUUCGCUUGAAU
rnacentral:rRNA from 1 species